AAUUUACUCCAGGUCAUGAAUGAUUUAUGCACAUCUAGUGGACCAAUAUGGGUUUUGAAGAACAGUAGCGGAAUUUCCAAAUAGCAAGUCCCAAGUCUAAAUCCAUGGAUAGUUUUAUCUAGGUUAGAUUUUACAAUUAAUGGAGGAUAUAUCGAGAUUCUAGUUUUCUACUUGUACAAAACUUUGGUUGCUUUAGUUUAGGAUUUCUGAAGAAUUGGUCACUUCUUUUAGUAGU